GGUAAUAAAAUAACACUUCCAUUGCUAGGCCAGUGUUAUAUUCACGACAGUGUCAGUGUAAAACAAGGGUGUUAUCAGAUUUCACUCUGAGCGGUGUAAAUCAAGCCACGCCUCCACUAAACAUAUCCUGUCAGGGAUUUUACCGCCAUUUUCUUUCACAGGAGGACUGAAGAGAUCAGUUUGGUGAAAGUUCACACUGAGUGCUUCAAAUCAUUCAGAAGAGAUGCUGUUUUUAGGGCAGUUUAUUAAAGAAGACCUGACAUGGAUGACUUCCAAUGAGAAACGACUGCUAAUACUUAUAUAAAUUCAUUACAGAAGGACCCUACCAGACUAUAUUUGAAUACGGCAUACCCAUGAAUUCUGGAACUGUUAUUCCUUAACCCAGUUUGGAGGAUAAGAGCUUACCAACUAGUUAUAAAUAUGCUGAGGUGAUGUAUUGCAAAAUAGCCAACAUACAACAAUAUGGAUGACCCUCUGUCUGGUCAACAGGAGUUUAAAUAUGGACGGGACAGUGAUGUGGCAGCUCUUCCCUGGCUCAUUCACCUCUUGCCUUCAUUUGUGAAAGGAAGAAAAACUGGAGAGGGUCAAUGUGCAACUGAAGCUACUGAUUGUGCUAUGUGAUGAGCAUCAAUCCAUGCUUUGAGGGGGAUGAAUCAGCACAGCCCUGCCUGCUCUGCGUUGGGAACAGAAGUUGCAUCCAGAAUUUUUGCAUCAUUCUGGACCAAAAAGCCAUUCCCUCCAUGAUGAAGACCACUGAUGCAGCCUUCCACUACAUCAUGAGUAAAACAACUACAGAACUAAAUACCAGGUUGGAACGUAUUUAAGAAAAAUGAAACGUCUUUUGAAUUGAAAUGUCUGUUUUGUUAUGGAUAAAUCUUUAGUUUUGUGAAGGAUAAGCAUUUCUGCAUGCCAGUAAGGUAAUUCCAGUGUAUUUUAAUGUUCAAGUUUUGAGUAGGGUGGCUAAUUUUUUUUAAACUCUCAUUUGAUAUAUUAAAGACCUUAUAAUAAGUGGUUUUCAUGUCACUGCGCUGUGGUAUAAGAUAACUUUCAUUAUUCCAUACUGUAUUCUGUAUUCUAAUUGUAGCUGAGGUAUUUAAAUAAGCAGUGUUAAAUGCAAAGUGUUGUGUGUAUCAAUGUAAAUAUUAAAUGUGAUGUACUUUAAUAAAAAGAGGUUUUGCAAUAUUUCUUGUCAUUUGUCUUUUAUAGAAACAACCCAUUAGCAACAAAAGUGGCUAUUAAUCAGUAUUUUAACACUUAACAUUGUUGAAUUCACAUUACACUGGUGUUGACCUUAAAUUAGGAGUGUUAAUUUUUAACACUGUAUUUCUGUGCCAACACCAGUGUAGUGUGGAAACAACAAUGAAUAGUGUUGAACAAAGUGUAAAAUGUAACAAUAUUGAGUGUUAAAUUAACAUA